AGGGAAUCUUCCACAAUGGACGCAAGUCUGAUGGAGCAACGCCGCGUGAGUGAAGAAGGUUUUCGGACCGUAAAGCUCUGUUGUUGGUGAAGAAGGAUAGAGGUAGUAACUGGCCUUUAUUUGACGGUAAUCAACCAGAAAGUCACGGCUAACUACGUGCCAGCAGCCGCGGUAAUCGUAGGUGGCAAGCGUUGUCCGGAUUUAUUGGGC
rnacentral:rRNA from 1 species